AUUGAACGCUGGCGGAAUGCUUUACACAUGCAAGUCGAACGGCAGCACGGACUUCGGUCUGGUGGCGAGUGGCGAACGGGUGAGUAAUGUAUCGGAACGUGCCCAGUCGUGGGGGAUAACGUAGUGAAAAUUACGCUAAUACCGCAUACGAUCUAUGGAUGAAAGCGGGGGAUCGCAAGACCUCGCGCGAUUGGAGCGGCCGAUAUCAGAUUAGGUAGUUGGUGGGGUAAAGGCCCACCAAGCCAACGAUCUGUAGCUGGUCUGAGAGGACGACCAGCCACACUGGAACUGAGACACAGUCCAGACUCCUACGGGAGGCAGCAGUGGGGAAUUUUGGACAAUGGGCGAAAGCCUGAUCCAGCCAUUCCGCGUGCAGGAUGAAGGCCCUCGGGUCGUAAACUGCUUUUGUACAGAACGAAAAGGUUUCUACUAAUACUAGGAGCUCAUGACGGUACUGUAAGAAUAAGCACCGGCUAACUACGUGCCAGCAGCCGCGGUAA
rnacentral:rRNA from 1 species